rnacentral:rRNA from 1 species
CCUACGGGAGGCAGCAGUGGGGAAUAUUGCACAAUGGGGGAAACCCUGAUGCAGCGACGCCGCGUGAGUGAAGAAGUAUCUCGGUACGUAAAGCUCUAUCAGCAGGAAAGAAAAUGACGGUACCUGACUAAGAAGCCCCGGCUAACUACGUGCCAGCAGCCGCGGUAAUACGUAGGGGGCAAGCGUUAUCCGGAUUUACUGGGUGGAAAGGGAGCGGAGACGGCGCGGCAAGUCCGGAGUGAAAGCCCAGGGCUUAACAAGGGAACUGCUCUGGAAACUGGAGAACUUGAGUGCGGGAGGGGAAGGCGGAAUUCCAGGUGUAGGGGUGAAAUGCGUAGAUAUUAGGAGGAACAGCAGCGGCGAAGGCGACCUGCUGGCACGUAACUGACGUUGAGGAGCGAAAGCGUGGGGAGCAAACAGGAUUAGAUACCCGAGUAGUC